UACAGAGGUCCCAAGCGUUGUUCGGAUUCACUGGGCGUAAAGGGUGCGUAGGUGGUGGGGUAAGUCCGAUGUGAAAGCUCCGAGCUCAACUCGGAAAUGGCAUUAGAAACUACCUUGCUAGAGGGUUGGAGGGGGGACUGGAAUUCUCGGUGUAGCAGUGAAAUGCGUAGAUAUCGAGAGGAACACCAGUGGCGAAGGCGAGUCCCUGGACAACUCCUGACACUGAGGCACGAAAGCUAGGGGAGCAAACGGG
rnacentral:rRNA from 1 species